CUAGUUUACUCACUGACUGAAUAAAUGGGUGCUGUAACCAAGCCGAGUUGACAUAAAACUAACAUCACCCUCCCCCAAACUCACAUAAUUCUCUUUUAUAAUACAAAGAUAAUCCUGACUGAGAAAUCAAAGAAAGCAGUGCUCCUUUCUGAUAUCAAGGAUUCCCUUUGGGGUCAGGAAUGAUAUUCGACUUCUUGCCUGCAGUGAUCAGAUGAGGAUCAUUCUUGGCUGGUAGCAAUGCUGGUGCCGUCUCAGGGACAACCAAUCAUUACAAAUUUCAGUAUAACUAGCCAUGCAAAGGUGAGAAGCUUCUUAAACUUCCUUAAACUCACAAGGUGAAGAAAUGGCACCAGGAGGACGACUUGCUGGUUCGUGAUGGGACUCACCUCUACUGAUGUAAGGGCUGACCACCAUAAUCACCUCGUAUGUGGACAUUUAUGACAUCCAAGACUGACAACUUCCCUUGAGAAGUUCCAAGUUCAGUAGAUGAAAAAGAUCUACUCUAUGUAAUACUGGAGACAUUAGGUGACAUGCUUCAAAUUUCACAGCUAAUAACCUU
rnacentral:lncRNA from 13 species